rnacentral:rRNA from 1 species
CCUACGGGUGGCAGCAGUGGGGAAUAUUGCACAAUGGGCGGAAGCCUGAUGCAGCGACGCCGCGUGAGGGAUGACGGCCUUCGGGUUGUAAACCUCUGUUGCUACUGACGAAGCCUUUGGGUGACGGUAGGUGGCGAGGAAGCACCGGCUAACUACGUGCCAGCAGCCGCGGUAAUACGUAGGGUGCGAGCGUUGUCCGGAAUUAUUGGGCGUAAAGAGCUCGUAGGCGGUUUGUUGCGUCUGCCGUGAAAACCGGGGGCUUAACCCUCGGCUUGCGGUGGAUACGGGCAGACUUGAGUUCGGUAGGGGAGACUGGAAUUCCUGGUGUAGCGGUGAAAUGCGCAGAUAUCAGGAGGAACACCGGUGGCGAAGGCGGGUCUCUGGGCCGAUACUGACGCUGAGGAGCGAAAGCGUGGGGAGCGAACAGGAUUAGAUACCCU